rnacentral:rRNA from 1 species
GCUUAUUCUCCGGCCGAAGAGCAGUGAUCCGAAGCAGUUCCGGUACUGUGGAUGUACCGGUAACUAGAGGCUGCCCGCAGGGAUCAAUCAGCGGCCAAUUUAUCUGGGACAUACUUAUGGAUGUACUGCUUCAGCGUCUCCAGCCGUAUUGCCAGCUGAGUGCAUACGCGGAUGACUUGCUGCUUCUCGUCGAGGGAAAUUCCCGAGCUGUGCUAAAGGAAAAAGGAGCGCAACUAAUGUCCAUCGUAGAAACGUGGGGAGCGGAAGUUGGCGUUGCCGUCUCGACCAGCAAGACAGUAAUCAUGCUGCUGAAAGGUGCCUUGAGACGUGCGCCUACGGUGAGGUUUGCUGGAGCGAACCUUUCGUAUGUGCGUAGCUGUCGGUAUCUUGGCAUCACGGUCAGUGAAGGAAUGAAAAAUUUCUCACGCACAUAGCUUCGCUUCGCCAGCGGAUGACCGGAGUCGUUGGAGCAUUGGCGCGUGUGCUUCGAGCCGACUGGGGCUUCAGUCCUCGAGCCAGGCGGACCAUAUAUGACGGACUCAUGGCACCUUGUGUGCUGUUUGGUGCCCCGGUAUGGUAUGACACCGCGGAACAAGUAGCUGCCCAGAGGCGACUAGCCACCUGCCAGAGGCUAAUCCUGCUUGGAUGCCUUUCGGUAUGCCGAACAGUGUCCACAGUGGCACUGCAGGUACUUGGUGGAGCUCCCCCGCUUGAUCUGGCUGCUAAGUUAUUAGCGGUCAAAUACAAGCUAAAACGUGGAUUCCCGCUGGAGGAGAACGACUGGCUUUACGGCGAGGACAUUGCGUGUCUAAGCUGGGAGCAGAGGAAGACUCGCCUAGAGGAGUGUUUAAUCCAGAGUUGGCAGAACAGAUGGGACGACGACAGCGAACCAGGACGGGUGACGCAUAGGUUUAUCCCAUACGUCACUCUUGCCUAUCGGGAUUCAAGUUUUGGAUUCUCGAUGAGGACGUCUUUCCUGCUUACAGGGCACGGGUCGUUCAAUGCAUUUUUGCACGGGAGAGCCCUCAGCGAUACCACUGCUUGCUCAUGUGGAGAUCCAUAUGAGGACUGGAUGCACAUUUUGUGCGCUUGCCCCCUAUAUGCAGAUCUGCGGGACCUAGAUGGACUUGAAGUGCAGCGCCUUGGCGAAAACUGGAUCUUCGAGAGAAUCCUGGAUGAUCAAGAGAAGACUCAACGGCUGGCAAUGUUCGCGGAGGAAGUGUUCCUGAGGAGGAGGGGCGUUUAGCUCAACAUCUUUGCCGUGUGGUUAGCGGGCGAGAAUACUACCACAGUCCGCUGUUGCUUGUCGUAAGAGACGACUAAUACAGCGAUAGGUUCCUCUAACCAUGCUUGUCGGAGCAAAAGGGGGAGGCCCACCAAGCCUCUUUUCGGUACCACGGGUUGAGCAGCUAUCCAAGACUGCUCAUUGAGGUAGGCCCCCUGGUGGGAGUAUCGUGGUGGCUGUGGUUGGUACCCAUAUCGCGGGUAGAGCCUUCAUGCUCGACGUUUGAGUUACGGUGCUGGUUGCGCAAAACUCGGGUGCUGAGACCCAGAGAUCAGUAGAGAUUUUAGGUAGAUCUCGCUCCUCAGCAAGGGGGAGUGCUUGCCCGGCAAGCAAGUACUCGAAUUGCUACCGGGGUGGUCGCUAUGUACAUAGCUAUAGCUUCUAGCCCGGGACGCUUGUCUGACGUAUUCAGACACAUGCACCAUAUGCUCACUUGUGGGUGUAUAGGGUGCCGUGGUUGUAAUCCCUUCAGUGUGGAACACGCCACGUAAAACAAGUUCGGAGGGAUCCGAAAAGCAUACAUUGUCCCUAUCUACUAUCUAGCGAAACCACAGCCAAGGGAACGGGCUUGGAAUAAUUAGCGGGGAAAGAAGACCCUUUUGAGCUUGACUCUAAUCUGGCAGUGUAAGGAGACAUAAGAGGUGAAGAAUAAGUGGGAGAUAUUAGACCUCGGUUUGCUAUCGUCAAUGAAAUACCACUACUCUUAUUGUUUCCUUACUUACUUGAUUAAAUGGAACGUGUAUCAUUUCCUAGCUAUUAUACGGAUAUAUUUAUUAUAUCUUAUGGUAUUGGGUUUUGAUGCAAGCUUCUUGAUCAAAGUAUCACGAGUUUGUUAUAUAAUCGCAAACAAAUUCUUUAAUAAAACGAUGCAUUUAUGUAUUUUUGAUUUGAAAAUUUGGUAUAACUCCAAUUACUCAGGUAUGAUCCAAUUCAAGGACAUUGCCAGGUAGGGAGUUUGACUGGGGCGGUAAGUCUCUCAAAUAAUAACGGAGGUGUCCCAAGGCCAGCUCAGUGCGGACAGAAACCACACAUAGAGCAAACGGGCAAAUGCUGACUUGAUCUCGGUGUUCAGUACACACAGGGACAGCAAAAGCUCGGCCUAUCGAUCCUUUUGGUUUAAAGAGUUUUUAACAAGAGGUGUCAGAAAAGUUACCAUAGGGAUAACUGGCUUGUGGCGGCCAAGCGUUCAUAGCGACGUCGCUUUUUGAUCCUUCGAUGUCGGCUCUUCCUAUCAUUGUGAAGCAAAAUUCACCAAGCGUUGGAAUGUUCACCCAUGCAAGGGAACGUGAGCUGGGUUUAGACCGUCGUGAGACAGGUUAGUUUUACCCUACUAAUGACAAAACGUUGUUGCGACAGCAUUCCUGCGUAGUACGAGAGGAACCGCAGGUACGAACCAAUGGCACAAUACUUGUUCGAGCGAACAGUGGUAUGACGCUACGUCCGUUGGAUUAUGCCUGAACGCCUCUAAGGUCGUCUCCGUGCUGGACUGCAAUGAUAAAUAAGGGGCAAUUUGCAUUGUAUGCCUUCUAAACCAUUUAAAGUUUAUAAUUUACUUUAUAAACGACAAUGGAUGUGAUGCCAAUGUAAUUUGUAACAUAGUAAAUUGGGAGGAUCUUCGAUCACCUGAUGCCGCGCUAGUUACAUAUAAAAGCAUUAUUU